GGGUACAUCACAAGCCACAGGUUUAUUAGCCUUAAAUUUAAAUGAUAAAACAUUAAAUAAACUGUUAAAAAUGAAGAGUAUUUUGGUUAUCUGCUACCACUGUGAACUUGAAGGGAGCUGAUUUUAAGACAAGUAGGCUACUCUCAAGGAAAUAUUUUGUGAGUUAUUAAAAUAACUGAAAACUGGCUGAGGGGAAAAAACAGUUAUUUUGACAAAAGCAUGUGUUUUUGCAGAUUAAACUUGUUUUGAUAUUUUGUUAUCCAAUACGAUGACAUUCACAGGUGUUUCACUGGGGCUACUGUAAAUAAGCAACAUCGUAUUAGUAACUUAUUAUUUCUACAACACAUAAUUCGUUCGCAUUCGACCUUUUACAGAGGCCUCACUGAACUCUGACUCAACCAGACGUUACAAUUAAACCGCACUGCGUGAAUGAGCGCGCGCACGCACUGAAGACGCCGCGUGCUCAAGGAGCCACAAUAAACAAUCUUUGCGGAAAUCCUAAACACACCUGUAGUCCUCAGCACUAUAUGAUGCGGCUUAUAACCAUCUUAACGUAAUAACAGACUCCUCAAGGCCUAUACGUUUUAUUUCCUCUAGACUGUAAUACACUAAAAUACAUUUGAAAUAACAAAUAGGUUUAAAACAUGGCAACGCUGCUAUAACAGUUUGUCUUUCUCAACACAGGGCCAGAAUCAGAAAAUGACAUCUAAAAAAGCAGAGUUUACUGAGAGAAGCGUCUCAUCAGAUCAUUGAUCAGCAGCAUGUUUAGAGAUCUCAGCAACUGCAGACUUUUCUGGAGAGACUGAGCGCAGGUCUGCCGCACCGAGACGGCCUCUUCUCUUCGUGCGUGGGCAAGAGCUGAAAUCAUAAUGUGAUUUGUUGUGCUUGGGAGCCAAUUUGAGUCUUUUUGGGAGAGAUCCCUGCCCGGUCGCCCACUUGUGCGCUUUGUGAGGAGACCUUAAUUAGAGAAGCUCAAAUAUAUAGACACUUUUGAUUAUAGCUGAUCUUGAGUUGUAAAAGGAUGACAUUGCCUAGAAGGGGG
ensembl:lncRNA